AGUACGCGAGGGAAGAAAAAAUAGGGGAAGGCAGUACGCUAGGGAAGAAAAAAUUUCAGUACAAACCCUCUCUCAAUUUGUAAUCCUUCCGAUAUCCAUAAAAGCUUUCUUAAUUCCUAACAACUUUUUCAGAUUAUCUCAAUCACAUAUACAUAUCUCCUCAACCUUAAAUAAAUUCCCGGCCCUCAAGCAUAGACAUAUCCACUUGAGAAUAUUCUCCUCGAGCAAGUAGUAGCUGAUAGCUGCAGGUAGCUGUUAAAGAGAAGCAGCAGAUGUUCAUACUAUCCAUGUGCAUGUCAAUAAUACGGUGAAGAUAGCAGUAAUCGCAGUUGUUCGUGUUUGCAUGUUCCUGAUUUUUUGUUGAGUUUGAAGAGAAGACUGUAGCGAAUACUACUAGCACACACAAAUAUGCAAUUCUCAAGAGCAUCAGCAUCUUCGAGCAAUAGGAGAGCAUCCAACUAUGUACCAUUCAAUGCAACACCUCCAUAAGCUUACCAAUCAAAUUGCAUAGUAGCAAGACCACAAUUAAGGCCAGCAAUUCCUACUCACAUAUAUGGUAAUAUACAUAUUCAAGAAGUCAUGAAUCUAAAAUACAGGUAUAAUACGUACCCAUGAGCAAUUACUGAUCA